UCUUAACUUUCAAAGGCCUAUUCAGGGUGAUGAAUCCAUCCCAAUAAGAUUCAGAACCUUGAAUAGCCCCUUUAAAGGUUGGAA
ensembl:miRNA aca-mir-5446 aca-mir-5446